UCGGGAAUUUUGGGCAAUGGGCGAAAGCCUGACCCAGCAACGCCGCGUGAAGAAUGAAGUAUUUCGGUAUGUAAACUUCGAAAGAAUAGGAAGAAUAAAUGACGGUACUAUUUAUAAGGUCCGGCUAACUACGUGCCAGCAGCCGCGGUAAUACGUAGGGACCAAGCGUUGUUCGGAUUUACUGGGCGUAAAGGGCGCGUAGGCGGCAAUUCAAGUCAUCUGUGAAAUCUCCGGGCUUAACUCGGAACGGUCAGAUGAUACUGCUUUGCUAGAGUGCAGAAGGGGCAAUCGGAAUUCUUGGUGUAGCGGUGAAAUGCGUAGAUAUCAAGAGGAACACCUGAGGUGAAGACGGGUUGCUGGGCUGACACUGACGCUGAGGCGCGAAAGCCAGGGGAGCAAACGGGAUUAGAUACCCCAGUAGUCCCUGAGCGGGCUGGCAAGGCGCAU
rnacentral:rRNA from 1 species